rnacentral:rRNA from 1 species
UACGGAGGGGCUAGUGUUGUUCGGAAUUACUGGGCGUAAAGCGCGCGUAGGCGGCUUUGUAAGUUAGAGGUGAAAGCCCGGGGCUCAACCCGGAACUGCCUUUAAGACUGCAUCGCUUGAAUCCGGGAGAGGGAUGUGGAAUUCCAGGUGUAGCGGUGAAAUGCGUAGAUAUCUGGAGGAACACCGGUGGCGAAGGCGGACAUCCUGGACCCGGUAUUGA